AACGAACGCUGGCGGCAUGCCUAACACAUGCAAGUCGAACGAGACCUUCGGGUCUAGUGGCGCACGGGUGCGUAACGCGUGGGAAUCUGCCCUUGGGUUCGGAAUAACUCGCCGAAAGGCGUGCUAAUACCGGAUGAUGACGUAAGUCCAAAGAUUUAUCGCCCAAGGAUGAGCCCGCGUUGGAUUAGCUAGUUGGUGAGGUAAAGGCUCACCAAGGCGACGAUCCAUAGCUGGUCUGAGAGGAUGAUCAGCCACACUGGGACUGAGACACGGCCCAGACUCGUACGGGAGGCAGCAGUGGGGAAUAUUGGACAAUGGGCGAAAGCCUGAUCCAGCAAUGCCGCGUGAGUGAUGAAGGCCUUAGGGUUGUAAAGCUCUUUUACCCGGGAUGAUAAUGACCGUACCGGGAGAAUAAGCUCCGGCUAACUCCGUG
rnacentral:rRNA from 1 species